AACGCAUAUUGCACUUUCUGGUAUUCCGGAAAGUAUGCCUGUUUGAGGGUCAGUUAAAUAAAAAUCGGUGUUGUUGCUACUUUUAGUGGUGAUGCAUCGGAAUUGAGUUGUCUUUACCUUUGGUUAAAGUGACUUAAAAUUAUGUACGAUUUUUGAACGUAUUUAAAUUGUUUACGUAUGUUCAUAAUAUCAUAUAUUAGGUGCGAUCAUUCUUAUGAUUUCGCGUCUAUAAUUUUUCAUUAUUUGACCUCAAAUCAGGUAAGAGUACCCGCUGAACUUAA
rnacentral:misc_RNA from 1 species